rnacentral:rRNA from 1 species
UACGAAGGGGGCUAGCGUUGUUCGGAAUUACUGGGCGUAAAGCGUGCGCAGGCGGCUGCUCAAGUCAGGGGUGAAAGCCCAGAGCUCAACUCUGGAAUUGCCUUUGAGACUGAGUGGCUUGAGUACGGGAGAGGUGAGUGGAAUUCCCAGUGUAGAGGUGAAAUUCGUAGAUAUUGGGAAGAACACCGGUGGCGAAGGCGGCUCGCUGGCCCGUAACUGACGCUCAUGCACGACAGCGUGGGGAGCGAACGGG